rnacentral:ncRNA from 1 species
CGAAGUUUCCCUCAGGAUAGCUGUAAUGCAUUUAGUUAAGGGGAGUAGAGAUAUGGGUAGAGGUGCAGGGAGCCUUCGGGUUCUCAACUUAUUUCCAAACUUCGAACCUCCUUGUUAGGCAUUUACCUAACUGGAAAUGCUUAAAUGAAUUAGCGUUACAAGUGGGCUCUGACCGGUAAGCGGUCAUGGCGAAAUGGGAUGAACCAUACGUCUGAAUAAGGUGCCGAAAUGUACUAUCACUGAUACCAUAAAGGGAGUCCAUGUAUUUAGACAGCAGGUCGGUGCCCCUAAAAGCAGGUAUCCGCUAAAGAGUGUGUUAAAACUCACCUGCCGAAUACUAGGGCCCCGAAAAUGAAUGGCGCAUAUAGUACUACCGAUCUCAGACAUCAGUUCUAUUGAACUGAGAGUAGGGGGAUGUGGACAUUUUUGUGAAGGUGCAAUGUGAGUUGGACUGGAAGAAUGUCUAUUACAGAUCCUAAUUGAAGUAGCGAUUAUCCAGGCUUGUAUCCUGGGGGCUGAUGAGGAGUAGGGUUUCUGGACAACUUAAACAGAUCCAGAGUUAGUCGAUCCUAAUCUCAAUAAUGGGAGAAAGGGAGUACAGUUGAUAUUCUGUAACUGACAACAGUUCGCGGCAACGCAUACUAUUUUUCUCCGCCAAUCUUAUACCGUUGGUAGGGAUCUCUUUCCUACAUGACAGUACUAAUACCCAGGGAAACUGGUCAUCAGGCGAACUGCGGCGUUCUGCUGGCAAAACAUAGCUUCGGUUAUGUCAAUGGCUAUUGGAUUGGUCCAUGAAGCGAAAAAUAGUUUACUGUGUCACUCGUACCGAUAACCGCAUCAGGUCUUCUAGGUAAGUAGCCUAUGGCCAUUGAGGCAUGAUAGUUCAGGGAAUUCGGCCAAUUAGAGCUGUAACUUCGGGAUAAAGCUUGGCUCUGAGAAAAUCAGAACCG